rnacentral:ncRNA from 1 species
UAAGCUAGCCUGGAUUCGGGUGCUGGUCAAGAUUUGACCAGAUAAUAGGGAAGACGGUGUAAAUCCGUCACAGCCCCGCUACUGUGAUCGACGCAAGCAUGUAUCGAUACCACUGUUCUAGAAAAGAAUGGGAAGGUGAUACUUUGUGGAUUUUAUCCAAAUCCCGUCGUCAGUCAGGAGACCUGCCUUUUAGAAUCUUGCAGU